AGUUCAAUGCAUCGUACAUCAAGUGGGGGAAGUCAAGGUAGCAGAAGCUUGGCAGAGCUGGUCACCUCCCAUCCGCAAUCAGGAAGAAGAGAGCACUAAGAGCUUGGCUCCAUCUCCUCUUUCUUCAGUCUGUGCUCCCAACCCAUGGGACGGUGCCACACACACACUUGGCAGGGCAGGUCUAGAUAUUCCCUCACAGGUUUGUCUCAUCUCCUAAGCGAGGAUCCACCCAACUCACGUUUUGAGAUAGAAUCCCUUGCUGGCCUUGAGCUCACAGAUCCACCGAGGCGGAGUGGCCAGUGGGGCCCAAGACUCUGCCUAUCUUCCUACCCAGCGCCGUCCUUGAAGUCCUGUUGUCACUUGACUGUGGAUCAAUCUUGUACCUCAAGCCCCUAACAAUGUGUGAGCAAUUAGAGCAUAAGGCUUCCUCACAGGAAGUCUCUCCCUGACUGAGUAUCUACCCAGUUCAACUCACUGAAUCGCCACAGUGCCCAGAACAGUGUCUAACACAUGCAAUGAACUAUAUAGUGCUAUCUGUGGAAUACCGAGUAGUUUGAACAUAAUCAGCAGAUCUCACCCGACAAGGACAAGGUGAUAUGCCACACUUGGGAAAAGGCUCACUGGGUCAAAGGUCAGAGGCAAAAGCACCACAUAAAACCAGGCCUGGCAAUGCAUGCCUGUCAUCCCAGAGUUCAGAAGAUUGGAGAAGAGGAAAGAAGCUCGAGAUCAUCCUCAGAUAAAUAACCAGGCCAAAGCCAGCCCGAGUCACGUGAGACCCCGAGUCACCAAAAAAUG